rnacentral:lncRNA from 1 species
CUGUGGAACCUGGAAGGAUCAGGAUUCCUGAAAAUUUAAACCAGAACUCAGAUAUUCCAGUAAUUGCUCAUCAAGUGCCCACUAGUAGCUAAGCAUCUGCUACACAACAGCAUACAAAGUCUGGAAGGUCCAAAUUGGAUGUUUACUUGCAGUGAAUAUGUUUUUAAUGGUUUGUUAUAUUCAGAGGAUCAUAACUUCAAAGAUGGUCAUCAAUUAAUUCACAAAGAUAAUGUCAGAAGCAGGAUCCAAAGUGGAGCUUCUAGUGACCCCCAGGAGUGCUGAGUAAACACGCAAGGUACCUGCAGGACCCACUUGUGUCCAUUGAUCUCUCAGAGCAGCUGGGCAUCGUGGGUAAAGACCUUCACAAUCGGGAACCCGUAGAUUGGAUCUUCUGAAAACAUCAGAGAAAGACUAUCUUUGCCAUCCACACUACAGUAAAACUUUGGAGCCUUGAACCUUGGAUUUAUAAUCUCACAACUGAGAAGGGUCCCUCCAUACUCCUGGAACUGUACACCCAUUGGAACUCUUAAGGAUGAUAUACAUGGCCAGGUGAAGACAGUAGAGAGAAAACAGAACUGAAACCAGAGAGCCCUCUACAGAAGGAUGUAAUGGAUAAUUAUUGGUAUACAGUGAGGUUCAUAACCAAAAACAAAAGUUCUCUCCAUGAGACCUGGAAUCUGUAAACUGUCUUCUGGCUAAGGAAUCUGAAACUUAGGAUAAACAACUUGCCUAAUUUCUUAUGAUGGAGAUGUAAUAGUGGUUGGAAUUUGGACCUAUUCCUUCUGAUUCUGGAGCUCACCAGUUAACCACUCUGCUAAACUGCCUCCCCAAGAGGGAAUCACAAGUUCAAAUUCCAGGAGAGUUGGAUCAGCCUUUCCUCUCUGGCAGCCAGGCAAAGCGAGGGUCAUGCGAUCUACUCAGCACUUUGGGAUGUGACUUCAAAACCAAAGAACAAGGUGCACAUUUUGAGAAACGUGUACUCCUUGUUUAUGUGGCUGCUUCUUUAACAGAGUGAGGGAUAUGUACUUACUGGACACAGUUUUGGUUAGCCCAGCAUCACGUUUUUUUCUGGAAACCUCACCCCACUUUUUAUGUGGUUGUAGGAAUUCCCCCACCCCCUGCCAGUACAACGGCUCUUCUUUGGCUCUAGUGGAUUGGAACAGGGCAGGCCCCUCCCAAGAGCCAGUGACCAAGUAUGGUGGGGACAUUGAGGCAGACCUAUUUCUGAGAAACACAGAAAUUUGUUGGGCAACUGUAUUGCCCAACUUUGGCUCAAAAACUCCAUGAUGACUUUGCUGAACUUUCCUUAGACCAUAGACCCACCAAAAAUGUUUCCAACCAAUCUACUCUCUCUCUCUCCUUCCCUUGGGGUUAGGCUUGCCUUGCAAUCUGAUGGCUUUGCCUAUCCUCCCCUAUUUCUGUUCACACAUUAAUUCCCCCUAAUAAAACCCCUGCUCAUUUAACACCUUCUCAUCUUCUGUUUCUUGGAGGACCUCAUCUUAUGCAUCUGGUUUAAAUCCUAGCUCUCCCACACAGUAGUCGUGUGACCUUUGAUAAUCACUACAUUGUGCUGUCCUCAAUUUCCUCUUCUGUAAAAUGAAAGUGUGGGGUAAGAGCACCUACAUCACAGUGGUGUUAUAAUUGGAUGUAAUAACCCUCAGUCAUUUACCUGGCAUGCGGUAUAGUUGUAUGCAGGAGAGUCUACUGUUUAGAAAAACCUUGAACCUAAUUGUUAGCACCAUCAGUCUGUUCUGGCUUGUGUGCUGUAAGAGCCCUCUCUGGGUCUACAUUUGCUCAAGCAUUGAUGUUCUGUAGAGUAAAUUCUGCAUGUUUGUCUCUCCACUAAAACAUAAGUUCCUUGAGAGCAGGUAGCAUAUUUCCUUCACUUCUAUAUCCUCUCCAGAUCCAAGCAAAGUGUUUGAGCAAAGUGGCAAACCAGGAAAUGCUCAUUUAAUGGAUGCGAAUUUCCUGCAGGAAUGAUGGAAUGGAGUUCAGGUCAACAGCAAAUAUUGCAUGGCUGCUUACUUUCUUCCUGUGGUAUUCUCUACAAGGACAAAUAGCACAGAACCCCCUGCCAUCUCAUACAAGUGACAGAUUGUAUAUGGUAAAUAUCAACUAAGAAAUGCAGGAGAGAGUGCAGUGCUUGAUUAGCACACUGUGGUCUAUCUAUCUCGGGUUUGGAUUCUGCUUGACCGCUUGUUAGCCCAAGACGUUGGCAAGACACUUAGCCAUACUCAGCCUGAGUUUUCCUGUCUAUACAAUAGUGAUAAUUGUGGUACUCACUCUGCAAGCUUCAUGUGAAGAUUAAAUGAGGUGAUUCCCUAUAGCUCUUGCCACAGGGCAAGUACCUAAUCAAUAUCAGCUAUUAUGAUUCUUUUUAAUUUACUUUUUAAUUGUUACUAUUGUCAAAGCAGUUUGCAUGCUAGAGUGCUGCCCUUUCUCUGGCUGAAUGUGGGGAAACAGUAGCUAGCUCCUUGGUUUCCGGAGCUCCGUUGAGUGCUGGGAGAGUGGACUUACAGCUCUGUUUUCUAGUGACUGGGGCAUCCCUAGGAAUCCCCAGGAAUCAGAGGACUUUAUUCCAAGAUUAUCUUGACUUAGCAACUUUCUUACUCUUUUAAAGACUACCACCUGACUCUAUUUCAAAUAUUUCUGCCUGUGAUGUAAAAAAUCUCUAUCAAAAUGGUUUAAAAGCCUGGGGAACAAAGAAAAAAAAAUGCCAAGGGUAGUUUCCCUUGCUGACAAGAGGUGUUUAUGUUGCCUUUAAUAGUCAUGAAGGAUGUUGUAAAAUACUUCAGGAUCAGGGCUCCCCAGACUGUUGAUUUUAUGGGCAGCUUGUUUGCUUAGCUGUUUGUUUGUGUUACAUUUUUAAAUUUAAAAAAUGUUUAAGCUUAUUAUCUUUCGCAGAGGGAGUUGAUUUUGGAAUUGCUGAAAGGUUCAAAUGUGGUAUUUUAAAAAGUGAAACACCAGAUUCUAGCAAUUUUGCUGCUAUGUGCUAAAGAUUCAGCACAUUAGUACCUAAAAACUGGAUUUGAUUAUUCUUUUUCUCUUAAGCCUCCAAAAUGCCAUUGUUUCAUCUGACAUACAAUUUAUGCUAGAGUUACUUAAACUGGUGUAUGCAGUAACUCCUAUUGCAGUGUUCUUGGGAGAUGUGAGGCCUAGGGUUUUUACCUUUUGGUGUCAUUUCAAUGCAAUAGUGAUGAGUUCACAGGGUUAGGAGGAAAGGGUGUUGCCCUCUUUCACUCAUUCCUUGUGUGUGUGACAAAUCUGGGCAGAACAUUCAAAUGCUGUGUUCUGAAUUUUCCUCCUCACUGAAUUGAGAGAAAUUUUGGAAGUUUGGAAGGCUCUCUUGAACUUUUAGGAUGAACAAAAUAACACUAUGAGAAGUUAAAUUGAUUUGCCUCUGUUUGAGGUUGAUGGGGGCCUUCAGCAUAUAAAAGUAAACAUGCAGAAUGCCAGCCAGUGCUAUUCCAAGGCAGAGAAUGGCUCAAGAACAUUUUAUGCAUGCAUACAGUUUUAAAAAAAUCAGAAUUGUGGCAUUGUGCCAAAAGCACCUCUACCUUCAUCCUAGUGUUCUUUUGAAGAAGAAAACAUAUUAUUAUUUAUAAAGAGACAAAUCAGAGCAUUCAAUAGUGACCUAGGUAAAACAAUACUGACAAAAUAACAGUAAUUAUACUAUGCAUUUAUUGAUUCAUUCAUAUUUUUCAUUCCUUCUAGUCUUCCAGUGCCUCACAAGCUAGUCAAGCAUGCCACAUACUUACACCAUGACAUAAACAUUGCACAUCCCCAACUCUACAAUUGUCGGCUGAUUGAGAACCUUACUCAACCGUCAACCUGCCAUGGUCUUGCUCCUAAUUAUUUGGAACUUUUGUCUUGCCAUAAUUGUGAACUAAAGCCGUGAAAAUAGCACAUAUUUUCACAGAUGGCAGGGCUAGUUGGUCCUUGAUUACUUGACCUCUUGGUGCUGGCUAGACAGAAAGCCCCAAGUGAAUGUUUAUACAUUGUACCCAGAAUUUUGUAGAAACUUUAGCCAUGGAUCCCAGCUUGGAAGCUUGGACCAUUUGGCCGGUUUGGGUUUGAUGUAAAAUUUCUUGGUCUUUCACUGGGAACUUUCGAGUUAUUUUAUGAGACAAGAGCUGCCAUCAUACUCAGCUUUUCAUAAAUCUUGCUCUUAACAUCUUAUCUUCAUAUGGGCAUUUUGACCAUGUCAGUUAGAGAAGCCCAGGAGGACAAGGUAACCCAUUGUCAUCUUUUUUCCGGAGUGAUCAUAACAGAUGCCUACUCAAAUAAAUGAAUGUUCCUUUAUCUGACCCAAUGGGCAUGAAAGCAUAUGAGAAACUGAAUAGAGGAAGUUAGAGGCUAAUGGUUAAGAAAUGGGAAAGUGGUAGAAGAGGCAUUUGAUGGGUUUUGCCUGUAAUCCCAGUCCCUAAUAGAAGUAAGGGCAGGGGAUGAUAGAAGGAAGAUUGGCUGGAUGCAUUGACCUUUGGUUGUAAUGGGUCAAUAAUUAGACCUAGAAAUUUCUAAAAUUGCAAAUUGGUUCUAUAGGAAAGUUACUGCAGUCUAUAGACAGGGACCUAGAGAAUCCUUCUCUGUAUGUUAGAUGGGAAAUGGUAGAAGUCCCUGGAUCCUCAAAAGAUACAAUAAAAAGAAAACCAACUUAUUUCCACCCCUCCAAUAAUGUCCUCUCUAUUUCCUGAAUAAUUUUUAAUUUAGGAUGAGAAACAGGCUUUUGAGAAGACAAAGGAAUCCUGCAGUUUUUACUGAAUGAUGGUUAGUUUUUACAGAGGAAUUUACCUUCACUGAAAGACAAUCCAAGAAACUGUUCUCACCUAUAAUUUUGGAAAAUAGUUCCCCCCAGCUCUGUAAUGGGUGCAACAAUGCUAGAACACAAAGGUGCACACACACACACGCGCACACACACACACGAAGGAAGGGGAGAAACUAAUCCCCUUCCCCUCAAAACUGUUUGGUGUAGUUUAUUACAGAUUCUAAAUUGCUGCCAAGGACAUUUAGAAUUAAAAUCAGCUUGAUGCACCUUUAGCAUUCUUAUUUCUAACCAUCAUACUUCCACUUUUUAAAAAGUUAGCUUCUUGACCAAUGGUUCUUAAAACUAUAAUCAUAUUAGUUAAAAAAAUAAAGAUGGGAAUUUCCAAAAUGUUUUCUAGCUCCUGUUACUCAUCUAACAAUAGGCAAUGAAAGUUAUAAUUGAGUUCCUGGUAUGAUAAGAACUUUCUUAGGGGCUCUCUGGAAGAAUCAGACAUGGACUCAUAAACCUCUUUUCCCAUAGCUCUCAUCAUUUCCCUAUUGUUCUCAAUCUCCAUUUCUCUCUUCUGGAAUUUAAACAUACGUUUAUAUUUUUAAAUCAUUUCUUUUGGACACUGGAUGAAAAUGGGAUGGCACUAAAGGCAUUAAGGAGUCCCAUUAAAAAAGGACCUCCAAAUAUGUGGGCAUCAGGGAAAAGUUCUGAUUCCAGUUAGGCCUUUAGGGAUGACAGAAAAGCUGAUUUUCACCUUGCAGGUCUGGAAGUUUUGUGGACCUGGAGAAUUUUUGCUAACCUCAGCUACUCCCUCUUUAAAAAUUGACCUGUCUUGCUUAGGCCAAAGGAAUCAGUAACUGGGCUUUAAGUAUUGAGGUGAGCAUACAAACUGGAUAUUUCAAAACUCAUAAAAAGGGAUUUGGAUUCUGCUUCAUCUAAAACUAUUAAUCUUUUCAUUGCUCCUGAAGGCUUCCCCUUUAACUAGAGACUAUCAAUGUUGCCCUUGGAUUAAAAGUCAACUCUGUGUUAUCUAGUGAAUAUUGCAAAAAAGCACUAUUCUUUUCCUAUGGGCAAAUAAAAAGAAUAGAUCUCAUCUUGCCCAGUGGAUGUUAAUGGACUUGAGAAAUUGCAGAAUUUAUUACCUAAGAAAACAAUGUUUCCCUUUAGUGGGAGGGAGGUCGUCAAGGGAUGGAGGCGAGAGAAGGGGAAUUGCUCUUUGGGAGCUCAUUUCUUUGCCUCCUUUUCCACCCUUACAUUCGAACAGUGCACACAUUAGAAGCUGUGUGAGGUUUUGUUUGUUUUCAAGAGAUGUUUGAAAAAAGAUCAAAUGCUUGUGAAAGGCACUGGAUUGGCAGCCCAAGAAACUAAAGUGUCCCGGAAGCUGUGUGAGCCCAGAAAUAUCCUGCAUUUCUAUUUAUUUUGGCAAUUUUACUUAAGACUACCAAUAACUGGAGUUCAUACUACAAUUAAAUUUUCCCCAGGCACCAUGAAAUGAAAGCACGUAUUACACUUAAUUUUAACUGGUUGAGAAAAAUGGUGGUUUUCUGAAAGUUCAUUAUAUGACCCGGAAACAGAAGCAAUGGCUCUCACUUGGGAGAGCCAAGCUACCUAUUUAAGUUGGAAUUAUUCAUAGAACCAGGGGUUCUCUGGGUUGGAAUGGUUCUUAGGUCAUUGAGUUCUCUUAUCCUACCACAUGCUUGAAACUCUACUACCACAUCAUGGAAAAGCGUUGGCAAGCUUGGGCUUGAAGUUUUUGGUGACACAAGACUGGCUUCUACUUCAGGAGACCAACUUCUUUUUCACAUAGCUCCAAUUUUCAGAGACAUUCUAUAACAAGUGAAGAGAUGAAGGAGAAAACUGGCUUGGGCCCAAUAUUCAGUAUGGUUGGAAACCACUUCAAGGAAGAGGUGCAAAUAUAUUCUAACUUAGAAGGAGGUAAGAAUCAGCAGAAAAGAAGGAAUCUUUGGAGAGCCAAAACCAUCUCUACACCAAAUUGAGAGACUGGAAUUAUAAGGUGAAUGCAAUUAACUGGCAGUCGCAUCCAUGUUGAGAACACAGUCAUCCCUUUAAUAGAGAACAUUUGCUGUGCUUGACAAACUCACAGUGAAAUGGUUGGAUCCAUAGGAAGCAACAUGCUGAAAAUGGUUUCAAUAUGAUCCUGUUUUUUCACUCAAUAGCCAUUGAUUGAGGGUGUCCAGCCAAAAACAAUGAGAAAAUGAGCCAACAAUAGUCUUACCCUUUGACCAUAUUAGAUAAAGUCGCAGCUGAAAUUUGUUAUAUGUUUCAGGAAUAACAAAGCAUCCAUAUGGAACAUAUAUUUGGCAGUGUGGCAGCUGAUGAAACCAGGAAAAUUAGACAAAUUAUCAAUUGCUCGCUCCCAAAUUACCCCAAAAAGAAAUUAGAUCCAUUUUCAGUAGCUUUGCCUUCAAAUUUCUUCAUUCCGUGAGUCACCACUACCUUCUGCCAAACUAAAUAUGUCUAUGAACGGCUGGAAACUUUAAUGGAAAGAAACAUAAAACUCAAACUACGUAGGAAAAUUUAAGCUUCUUCAUGGAAGAUCUUCGUGGAAGACUAGCAAGUUAGGAAUGUGUGAAGACAGACAACACAUCGAUAAUUCCUUUUGUUUGGGGUCACUUCUGAGUUAGAGAGCAAUGCAACAUGCUGGCUUGACUUCAAAUUAAAAUCAGCUUUUUCCUUUAUUUCUUUUGUAAGCCUCCAAUCCCUCAAACUACUAGGGUUUAUUAAGGUACACAGUCCUACAGUCAGGUCGAUCAGAUUUGGGAUAAAGAGACUUCAUGAUGUUAUCCGAUGGAUGGUAGAAAUUAGUAAAUGAAGAUUUCAUGAAUGGCUAA